rnacentral:rRNA from 12 species
UCUGGUUGGAUUUCUCUGGUUUACCUAAUAGACCAAGCCUGGUUAGUACUUGGAUUGGAGACCGCCUUUGGAAGACCAAGGGCUGCUAGAC